rnacentral:rRNA from 1 species
ACGGGUAGCGGGUGUGAGAGCAUGACCCGCCUCACUGGGACUGAGACACUGCCCAGACUCCUACGGGAGGCUGCAGUCAAGAAUCUUGCGCAAUGGCCGAAAGGCUGACGCAGCGACGCCGCGUGACUGAUGAAGCCCUUCGGGGUGUAAAGGUCUUUUAUUAGGGAAGAAUCAAUGACGGUACCUAAUGAAUAAGGGGCUGCUAAACUCGUGCCAGCAGCAGCGGUAAUACGAGUGCCCCAAGCGUUAUCCGGAAUUACUGGGCGUAAAGGGUCCGCAGGCUGUUUAAUAAGUCAAUGGUCAAAUCCGGUGGCUCAACUGCUGGGCUGCCAUUGAAACUAUUAAACUAGAGACCGGGAGAGGCAAGCGGAACUGCUGGUGUAGGGGUAAAAUCCGUUAAUAUCAGCAGGAACACCAAAUGCGAAGGCAGCUUGCUAGAACGGUUCUGACGCUCAUGGACGAAAGCGUGGGUAGCGAAUGGGAUUAGAUACCCCAGUAGUCCACGCCCUAAACGUUGGUCACUAGACAUUGGAAGUAUCGACCCUUUCAGUGUCGUUGAAUCUAGCUAACGCAUUAAGUGACCCGCCUGGGAAGUACGGCCGCAAGGCUAAAACUCAAAGGAAUAGACGGGAACCCGCACAAGUGGUGGAGCAUGUGGUUUAAUUCGACGAUAAGCGAGGAACCUCACCAGGGCUUGACAUCCCCCGAAUCCCGCAGAAAUGCAGGAGUGCCGCAAGGAAUGGGGUGACAGGUGCUGCAUGGUUGUCGUCAGCUCGUGUCGUGAGACGUACGGUUAAGUCCGGUAACGAGCGCAACCCUCAUUCUGUGUUACUUUUCCACAGAAAACUGCCCGAAAUAAUCGGGAGGAAGGCGAGGACGACGUCAAAUCAGCAUGGCCCUUACGCCCUGGGCUACACACGUGCUACAAUGGCCAGCACAAAGGGUUGCUAAGCCGAAAGGUGGAGCUAAUCUCAUCAAAGCUGGUCUCAGUUCGAAUUGAGGUCUGCAACUCGACCUCAUGAAGCUGGAAUCACUAGUAACCGUGGAUCAGCCUCGCCACGGUGAAUACGUUCUCGGGUUUUGUACUCACCGCCCGUCACGUCAAGAGAGUCGGUAACACCCGAAGUCUCACGGUUGUGGGCCUAAGGUGGGAUCGAUGAUAGGGACGAAGUCGUAACAAGGCAUCCGUAGCGGAAGCUGUGGAUGGAUCACCUCCUUU